rnacentral:rRNA from 1 species
AGUGAACGCUGGCGGUAGGCCUAACACAUGCAAGUCGAACGGCAGCACAGUAAGAGCUUGCUCUUACGGGUGGCGAGUGGCGGACGGGUGAGGAAUACAUCGGAAUCUACUUUUUCGUGGGGGAUAACGUAGGGAAACUUACGCUAAUACCGCAUACGACCUACGGGUGAAAGCAGGGGAUCUUCGGACCUUGCGCGAUUGAAUGAGCCGAUGUCGGAUUAGCUAGUUGGCGGGGUAAAGGCCCACCAAGGCGACGAUCCGUAGGUGGUCUGAGAGGAUGAUCAGCCACACUGGAACUGAGACACGGUCCAGACUCCUACGGGAGGCAGCAGUGGGGAAUAUUGGACAAUGGUAGCAAGCCUGAUCCAGCCAUACCGCGUGGGUGAAGAAGGCCUUCGGGUUGUAAAGCCCUUUUGUUGGGAAAGAAAAGCAGCAGGUUAAUACCCCGCUGUUCUGACGGUACCCAAAGAAUAAGCACCGGCUAACUUCGUG